UACCUUAACAAAGUUCCUAUUUCUUUCCGAUGCAGGUUUCAUAUAGUUAAAUAUCUGUGGCAGGUGGUGAUGCAGAACUUGCACCAAGCGUGAAAUAGGGCGAGUAUCGAGAAGCAUAUAAUCAUCUGGGGCGAGACCUUAAUCUUAAGUACCACAAAUGUCCGAUUUAUGCAAUGAACAAAGCUGAAAUGUGAUGCUUUACUAAUAGCCAAGUUGAUUAGCCUGAAUCAGACUCUUGAAGCUGUCUCCUAGGAGGGAUCCUUACUUUCCCCUCAUCAUCAGUGUAACAUUUUCUCGGGGAAUUCAAGUGAAGUCAGUACAAGCUACUAAAAUACUCUCAGAUGAGUAGUUGGACACGUUAGAAGCAAAUGAAGAUGCAAGCCCUGGCUGUCACGUGUCAGCAAAUGAUGUGACUAAUUAGACAGUAUUUACUACUAAGUACUAUAAAUCUAUAAUCUACAAUUAUAGGUUGAUGAUUUGCUCUUU